rnacentral:rRNA from 1 species
UAGGGAAUCUUCGGCAAUGGACGAAAGUCUGACCGAGCAACACCGCGUGAGUGAAGAAGGUUUUCGGAUCGUAAAACUCUGUUGUUAGAGAAGAACAAGGACGUUAGUAACUGAACGUCCCCUGACGGUAUCUAACCAGAAAGCCACGGCUAACUACGUGCCAGCAGCCGCGGUAAUACGUAGGUGGCAAGCGUUGUCCGGAUUUAUUGGGCGUAAAGCGAGCGCAGGCGGUUUCUUAAGUCUGAUGUGAAAGCCCCCGGCUCAACCGGGGAGGGUCAUUGGAAACUGGGAGACUUGAGUGCAGAAGAGGAGAGUGGAAUUCCAUGUGUAGCGGUGAAAUGCGUAGGUAUAUGGAGGAACACCAGUGGCGAAGGCGGCUCUCUGGUCUGUAACUGACGCUGAGGCUCGAAAGCGUGGGGAGCAAACAGG